rnacentral:rRNA from 1 species
UCCGUAGGCGGGCAAUUAAGUCAGAGGUGAAAUCCCACAGCUCAACUGUGGAACUGCCUUUGAUACUGGUUGUCUUGAGUUAUAGUGAAGUAGAUAGAACAUGUAGUGUAGCGGUGAAAUGCAUAGAUAUUACAUAGAAUACCGAUUGCGAAGGCAGUCUACUAACUGUAUACUGACGCUAAUGGACGAAAGCGUGGGGAGCGAACAGGAUUAGAUACCCUGGUAGUC